rnacentral:misc_RNA from 1 species
AAACUGCGAUAAGUAGUGUGAAUUGCAUUUAGUGAAUCAUCGAAUCUUUGAACGCACCCUGCACUCACUGGUAUUCCGGUGAGUACGCCUGUUUCAGUAUCAUUGAAAACACACAAUCAAAACAUUUUCUUUGGUUUGAUUGGCUUUGGGUCUAUCAAAAAGUUUGGCUUGUUUCUUACAAGCCAAGCGGCCUGAAAUAUACUGUCUGGCUAAUUGCAUCGUUGAUGAUCGCUAUUAGACUUUGGCUUUUUUAAAUGAACUGGAGGUUGAUUAACCAGUUUUAGCUUUAGUCAAAUGGUCAUUGUAAAAAAAAUCUCGAUCUUGGCUAGGUGUUUAUAGCCGAAAAUUUUUUUUUGGCUAUAACCGAAACCAAUAUAAUCACAUUUAGUUAUCGAUCUGAAAUCAGGUGGGACUACCCGCUGAACUUAAGC